CCGAUCCUCCCUUCCCCCUCUUCUCUCUUUUUUCUUCUCUCUCUCUCUUCUCCCCCCUCCCAUCAGAGGCCACCCCGGCCGGGGCCUCGGCCCUUAACCCCACCCCCCUUUAGCCGGCUGCGGCGGGCGCGUAGAACAGCUGGAGCUAGCGGCGGCCCGGACUGGAAUGGGGGGUGGGGGAGGGCGGGGUAAGAGGUCAGUACGGGGAAGGGCCACGCCGUCGACUACUGCAGCCGAGGAGGAAGAGGAGGAGGAGGAAGAAAGAAAAAGGGAGGAAGGAGAAGGGAUUCUCGCCACCGAGGAGGAUUUAGGCGAGGACGACGGGGAGGAGCUGCAGGCUGCCUGGGUUCCGCGGCUCCGGGUCCGCGGCAGGACGCGCCCCCGGGCUUGCCAGUCCCGCCAGCCCAGGAUGACGCCCUGGAGGUUGCUCCGCUGCUGCCAGUGGACCGCGGCCUGGGUGCCGGUGCUCUUCAUCGCCGUGGUCAUCUGCUGGUCCUACUACACCUUUGUGGUGGAGCUCUGCCUCUUUACUAUUGCUGCACAAGAAGAAGAAGGAAAGGCAGCUAUCUACCUUGUGAUUUUCCAUCUGUCGUUUGUCUUGUUUAUGUGGUCCUAUUGGAAGACAAUUUUUACACCUCCAGUUUGCCCCUCCAAAGAGUUCUUUUUAUCUCAAUCCGAUGAAGAACAUUAUGAAAAGGAAGAACGACCUGAAGUCCAACAAGAAAUUUUGAAGAGAGUAGCAAAAGAGUUACCUGUCUACACUAUGACUUCAACAAAAUUAAUCAGAUAUUGUGAAAAAUGUCAACUGAUUAAACCUGAUCGAUGUCACCACUGCUCUGUAUGUAACAAAUGUGUUCUUAAGAUGGAUCAUCAUUGUCCUUGGGUGAAUAACUGUGUGGGAUUUUCUAACUACAAAUACUUCCUGCUGUUUUUAUUUUAUUCCCUUGUGUAUUGUAUUCUGGUGACCACAACAGUUUUAGAAUAUUUUAUAAAAUUCUGGACGCUUUGCCGCAGGAAAUCUGCAGAGAAUUGUCCAAAGACCAACCUAAGAAACACACGUGCACAAUUCCAUGUCCUUUUUCUUUUCUUUGUGGCUACUAUGUUUUUCAUUAGUAUCCUGUCACUUUUUUGCUACCACCUCUGGUUGGUUGGAAAAAACAGAACAACAAUAGAGGCAUUUCGUGCACCUGUAUUUCUAAAUGGACCUGACAAAAAUGGUUUCUCUCUUGGGUGGAGUAAAAAUUGGAGACAAGUAUUUGGAGAUGAAAAAAAAUACUGGUUAUUUCCCAUCUUUACAAGUUUAGGUGAUGGUGUUCAUUUCCCAACUCGUCUCAUGAUGGAUAAGGAACAUGUAACUGGCACAAACCACCAUGAACACACCAGGAGAGUGUACAGCCUUGCACAGAUGGUCAAGAAUGGUGCUCAAGAACUCUUUCAGUUCUGGAUCGACUCAAAAUUUUUCUGUUGGACCACUUAGUGAAUCAAAAAAUUUCCUGUUGGCCACUGGAUCAGAGCAAGAUGUCAGUUCAGGGAUGAAGAACCAUGUUACAGUUUCAAUAGAAAGUUGAUGGUCUAUUAACACUUGAAUGAGAGUAAGGUUUAUGCAACAUAUUCUGCUUGAAUUCUUUUUUAUAUUUUAUUUGGAAGAACUGAUCAGUGGAAUGAAACGAAUCAAAUAUUACAUAAGAUGUAUGAAAAUGGAGUCUCUGUACAGAUAAGUUGAUGCUCAUAAACAUUACUGCUGAGCAGGAAAUAAGACAGAUGCCUUAAGAACCUUAAAUGUGUGUUUAUGCAACACUGACUUAUCCUGCUCCGAAAGUGACUUGACUUUUUAAAAAAAAUAAUUACUUCAUAAAAUGCAAUAGUAUGUUUUAUCACACCAGAUAUUUAACUUAGUGUAUAAUUUCUCCUUUAAAGCAUGAAUAAACAUCACAAUUAUCUUAACAUACAUAUAUAAAAAUUGCUACUCCAGGAAAAAAGCAAAUAGAAUUCUGAUAUAGGAAGGAGGGAAAGGUUCAGGCAGCUUUAUACAUGGCUGAAAUUCACUAGUAAGAAUAGCAUUCUUCUUGAAGAUUUGUACUGUAUAAGGAAUACAAUUACACAGUAUCUUGCUUUUUAUAUUGAGCAUUUGCAAGUUUUUUAAUAGUUUUAUACUGUUAUUUUUAACAAAGGCCUUUUUUAUUGGUGGUUGUGAAGUACCACUUAGAAGGAAUUGAAAUACCUGACUACAAUCAUUAAUUUUUGACAACACUCAUAGAUCAUCAUCAUAUGCUAUGCAGAGUAGCAUAUGACUAAGCUUAAUGGAAACCUGGCAGUGUGGAUGGAGCUAAAAAAUUUUUAGCCUCAUUCGGCUUUCUGGAGAUAUUAAGGGGAUUUUGUACAAGGAGGGAAACUCUGAAGUACAUUUGCUACGUGAAGAUUCUUAUAUCUUUUUAGUAAUAUGGGAACACAGUGGAUAGAGGACCAAGGCCUGUGACAUUUCCCCCAAUUUUUUUUAGAAUGUAAUACAUUGAAAGUUUUGUUGUUGUUUAAAUUCCAUUUAAAUUAUAAAAUUAUGAAGAGAAAUUAUUCUAUUCCAUUAACAAAGUGGAAACUAGCCAACCUCAGGAAAUAGAAUCUAAAUUAUAUAGUCCAUUACCACUUCAACAUAAUAUUCCCCACUUCUAAGUAAUGAAAUCUAGCUUUGUAGUUUGGAUAACUUUUUGGAGGUGUUUCUUUCCAAAUAUAAGGAACAUAGGUUAUGGGUUCAUCUUCUUUAACAUAUAUUUAUUAAAUGGAAAUAGCAUGGUAAUCCUUGCAGCUAUUUUCCAAAGUUUAGAAUAUCAGAUACUUCCUCAGUCCUGAGGCAAAAAGUACUCAUUGUUUCUGGUAAUAAGUUUUUAAAAGCUUAAGCUUAUUAAUUUAUUUAAACAUAGAUUUUAGAAAGUUGUCUCACAUAUAACCCCCCCUCGCCCCCCCCCAAAAAAGCCUACUUAUAUUGUUUGGUAAAUGCUUCCAAAAUUGCUUAACCAGCUUAAAUGCUAUUUAAUUCUAUAUUUUAGCAUUACUACUAAAUAUAUUGGCCUUACUUUUUAGAUGACUUAUCUAACUUUUGAAUUAUUCAACUAAUAUCGGCUUUCAAAAUUAUCUAAUUU